UCCGAGUUGACCCCGGCAGUCUCCUAUGAGUCCCCACCAUUACGUGCUGGCAACAUAGGACGAGGGUUGCGCUCGUUGCGGGACUUAACCCAACAUCUCACGGCACGAGCUGACGACAGCCAUGCAGCACCUGUGCUAGCCCCUUACGGACACGCGCUUUCACGCGUUUUAACUAGCAUGUCAAGUCCAGGUAAGGUUCUUCGCGUUGCCUCGAAUUAAGCCACAUGCUCCGCCGCUUGUGCGGGCCCCCGUCAAUUCCUUUGAGUUUUAGCCUUGCGGCCGUACUCCCCAGGCGGGGUGCUUAAUGCGUUAGCUUCGGCACGGGGGGAGUCGACACCCCCCACACCUAGCACCCAUCGUUUACGGCGUGGACUAC
rnacentral:misc_RNA from 1 species